UGGCCUCGGCCUCAGUCGUCUCGCCCGGGUUUCCGUUUCCACCCCGAAUUUUACCCUUUCCGCCUCCGGUCUCAUCUCCGCCGGCGCAAGAUGGCGGCGGCCGCGGGCACAGCGAGGAAGGCGGGCGCGGCGCCCAGGGUGGGGCUUCUGUACGACGAGAGGAUGUGCGCGCACGCGCCUACCACCGGGACGAAUCAGCCGGAGACCCCCGAGCGGCUACGCGCCAUCUGGCGCAAGCUCGCCGCCGAGGGCGUCGCGUCCAGGUGUGUGGGCAUGAGGGCGAAGGAAGCCAAGGAAAAAUAUAUAGUCUCCGUCCAUGUCCCCAAGUACAUAAAUCUUAUAAGGAAUAUCAGCUCGAAGGAUAGUUACAAACAAGAAAAGGCUGCUAGGAAAUUCGAUUCCAUUUACUUCAACAAAGGCUCAUCAGAGUCUGCUUUCCUUGCGGCCGGUUCUGUUAUCGAGGUUGCUGAGAAGGUUGCGGCUGGUGAGCUGAGUUCUGCUAUCGCUCUAGUCAGACCUCCAGGCCACCAUGCCGAAUAUGACAAGCCCAUGGGAUUUUGCCUCUUCAACAAUGUGGCAAUUGCAGCUAACUACCUCUUAAAUGAAAGGCCUGACCUAGGUAUCAACAAGAUAUUAAUCGUCGAUUGGGAUGUUCAUCAUGGAAAUGGCACGCAGGACAUGUUUUAUAGUGACCCUCGUGUAUUGUUCUUUUCAGUGCACAGAUAUGAUUUUGGAAGCUUCUACCCUUAUGAAGUGGAUGCAUCACACUGUUUCAUUGGGGAUGAAACUGGUCGAGGGUACAACAUUAAUGUGCCCUGGGAUCAUGCGAAAUGCGGUGAUGCAGAUUAUGUUGCUGCAUGGGACCAUGUACUCCUUCCUGUUGCAGAAGCAUUUGAUCCGGAUAUAAUAUUACUGUCUGCUGGGUUUGACGCAGCACUGGGUGAUUGUAUGGGUGAUUGCUGCAUCACUCCAAAUGGAUAUGCACUGCUACUAACAAAGCUGUUAGGUUUUGCAAAAGGAAGGAUUGUGAUGGCCCUUGAAGGUGGUUAUAAUCCUGAGUCCAUAGCAAACUCAGUUUGUGCUUGCGCAAAAGUAUUGUUGGGAGAUAAAUUCGCACUUAACUCUCCAGAGAUGCAACCAUUCGAAUCUACAUGGAGAGUCAUACAAAUGGUACGCGAUGAAUUAAAGACAUACUGGCCUGUUUUGAGCAGUAAGCUUCCGGAGAACGUAUCUUUGAGGAGUACGCCCUCAUAUAUCGAGGGUUAUAACGAAGCACCAUAAUGUAGGCCAAUUCCAUAGAUGAAUGCAUGUUCACGAGUGAUGUGGACUGUAUUACACAGCUCAGUUGAUAUCCUAUUUCCAUAUUAUCCACAGCCAGUCCAUAUUGGAUGAACCUUUUGUUGUUGUUGUUGUGAUCAAUGCUUCAUGUGUAUACUUAUUCUGAGCCAUGCACUUCCUCUGGUUCUGAGUGAUGUUUCGAGUAUGAUAUGCUUGGAGAUCCGCAUUGUCAAAAGUUCAAUAUUUGGUAUGCCAGCUUUGGUUCAAACACGUGGAAACCAAGAUUCUUGUGCUACAUCGAAGGGGGUAAGGUUGAUGGUAUGAGUAUGCCAUGUUUUCGUUCACAUGACACAAGCCCACGAAGAGGCACCAUGUGGAAGAAUGUGCAUCAUAGAUUUUUUUUUCCGGGAGAUCCUCUAUCCCCUGUGGGAUACUGGUGGUGUUGCUUUUCCUUAACCCUGAUUUAAACUACAGUGACAAGUCAUGUCUGCAGGUACAAAAUAAUGCUUGAGCAGUUCAAUGACGCAUUGUUUAGACUCUGCCUUUGAUUCGCUUGGAAAAAUUGAGUCUCCUGGCUCUCCUUUUAUUUGCUUGUCUGAAAUAGACUCUGCCUCGUCACAAAAAGCUCUUCCAUCUUGAACCUGUUAAGGUUAGAUUUGCUGCUUUCCACAUCAAGCGCACGCUUAUCCUCUGCAUACAAUUUUCUAUAUGCCUAUAUAAAUAAAUGAGAAUAGUUAAUAUCGCAUUGUUGGAAAAAAAAAAGCUCUUAAGUGUGACUGUCCUUCUGGCAGCACUUUGAUAAAGGACACUAACAACCUCUUGUGUGGCCAUCACUGGUAGAAGCCAUCACUCUUACAGAUUAACGCUAUUGCCUGCUGUAAUAGUUGAUCCUUUGGUAAAGAAAGUGCCCUGUCCUGCCUCUUUUGUCCGUCAGGUUGGACUGAAGUUAGAAGUUACCUGGGACUGAUGCCUAGUCCAGAUCGCAGUUUGGAUUGUUAUCUUGGAUUUGAAGCUCUUUUGACAUCAUCACAACAGUAAAAAAAGGUCUGGUCUCAGUACAUUACAAACUGAAAAGGAUAAACUAUUUUCUCUUCUCAUAAUGCCCCUUCAUCCAUAGUCAUAUAGCUGACAGUAGUUGGUUUUCUAAAUAAAUCUGAUGCUAGUUAUAUUUUCGUAUUAGUGGAUCAUUUCUGCAAGUUA